rnacentral:tRNA from 2392 species
GCGCCCUUAGCUCAGUUGGAUAGAGCAACGACCUUCUAAGUCGUGGGCCGCAGGUUCGAAUCCUGCAGGGCGCGCCA